AUGGGAGGAUGAAUAAUGGGCUGGGUAGCAGUGCUGACAAAUUAAUUACUAAUGUUGUUGCAGUUAACCAUCUCUCCCUCUUUCUUUGACUAUAUAUUUCAGACUUUGUGUUUGUAUAUUUUUGUUAUGUGAAGUUUUAUUUUUUGUUUGUAAUUUGCAGACAAAUACUGAUACUUCGGUAGCAUCUACAACAUCUAAACCUGGGUAAGCUUCCUUUUCUGCAUAUGCAAUUAUAAGUAAUGUGUUUCUUGCUUUCUAGCUCAACAAGUUUAUAUCUUCUCAAGAAUUUUAUUAUUAUUAUCAUUAUUUUAUUUUUUAUUUUACUCUUUACAAGAGGUAAUGCAAUUUUCAUAGUGAUAGCUUGAAAGAAAGUUGAAUUUAUUUAUUAUUCAUUUCGGUAUAAAUGUUUUUUUUGUUUAUUAUUUAGUCUGUGUUAAGCUGCCAAGACAUAAAAGGUCCAAGAUGUUUUCACUUUUUGAGGAAAUGAUGACAAAGGGUAUUGAACCUCAUGGAAUUGUUUAUAGUUAACGUCAUUUAUUUGUUGUUGGUGGUAUAUAAGCGAAGUUCAUUUCGUAUUUGGCUGACCAAAUUCGCUUCAUUUCAUAUUGAGAUUGAGAAGACGGAGCACUGAAUUUGCGGCUUAUUAUUAUUAUUAUGCAAAAUUAUGUGAGCUAAAUUUUAAUUGUAUUUUUUAGUAUGAUUUGUUUCUUUUGCUGCAACUGAAAUUUAGGAGUCUGUAGUGUAAAGAGUUGUUGGUCAGAAGAAGAAAUUCGUCACCUACAACGGCGUGUUGUGGGCGGAAAAUUAAUACGACAAGGUAUAUACUUCUACAACAUCAAUUUGCAAUUGCCUUUGAAUUGCGAGUCUCUCUCUAUAAAUCCCCUUAUUUCUUAUCUCAAAGUCGUCAUAAGGUAGAGUUUAGAGGAUUUAACCAUUAUCUAAUAGGACAUGCAAAUUCACACAAAAAAAUGUUGUAUGGUGAAAGACCAAGUACACAUUUUAGGAAUUUUAUUUAUUAUUUUUUUAUGCUUAUUCUUCAGAAUUUUAGUAGUUUUGAUUGUAUUGAUAUCACAUAUAUGAUUCGUUUUCCUUACAAGAGUUUGAGGAGCAGUGAGUACAAGGUAAUCACAUAUAUGAUUUACUUUUGUUUUUGUUUGGUUAAAAGCAGAAGUGGGUGUGAGAUCAUUGAGUUGAAAAAGAAAGAAAAAUGGUUGAAGGUGGAAAUCGGAAGGAUGACUCAUUGGUGAUAAAUAUGUUGGGAAAAGUAUGCCAAAAAUAAUCUAUAUCCCAGGAAUUACUUUUCUGACUUUGUGCAAUUAAAUAUGAAAUCAACAAAACCAAUUAUGAGAACAAAAAUCACAAAUAACUAUCUACAAGCAAGACACCAAAUUUACAUGAAAAACCCUCUAAAAUUAAGAGGUAAAAACCACGGGUCAAACUCCGAAUCUCCACUAUAUCACUAAUAAUGGGCUUACAAUAAUCCUCUCAAGUUUUAUGCCCUAAAACUUGAGGUUACACAAUAAAUUGAGAUAGUACAAAUUUACCUUUAAUUAGGUUGAGAAACCUAAUUAUCUUUACCACCCAAAAAACACCCCAAGCAAUAAAGUCUUCAAGCUUUCAAUUGAACGGAGAUGAUGGCGGAUACACACGAACAACAAACUGUAAUUCUCUCAAUUUAUUCUUUUGGUAUCUUUUUACUACCAAGUUUAUCUCAUAUCUCAUGUAUCAAAUAAGACUCCCUCAUAGCCUUAUUUAUAGUACUCUUCUUAAUCCAUUCCUAUUAUGAAUUAGAAACAAUUUAUUCUCCUAAUCAAAUUAGGGAUCACAUCUCCUUGUCUUGGUCAUCAACCACUCUAACAAGUAAAUCCUUUUUCAACUUGGUUUCCUUUCAUGGAAUCUCCAAUUCCAAUAUUGCUUCCAUUAACUCAAUUUCUAAUUGGAUUAAUAUCAAGUAAACCCAUUUACUUGCUCACAAAGAAAAUUAAUUCUUUUAUAUCUUGGAUUCUAUCUCAUGGGUGAGGACCCACACCCAACAAUCUCCCCCUCCUAACCCAUGAGAGGAGGGAUCACCAACCACAACUCCUUACUCAGAGUUAAUUCCAACGAUGUAUUGGCUCAACUCAAGCUUCUUAGAAUUUUCAAAUAUCUUCAUGUUCGACUUUGUCUCAUCGGCAUGGUUCUUCUCAAUGGGAGGAUCUAACUCAAACUUGACAUAUUUUCUCUUGCCAAAUUCAUUCACAACCGCUUUGUACCUGGCUGCGAGCUAUCACUUUCCUUCUUCACUUUUGGUACCCAUUUAAAGCGAAGAGCUUUUCUCUCGUGGUUCUCAUGCAUGACUUUUCUCCCAUCUCGCACGGCUUUGUUCCACAUCUUUUUCUGCCUAACUCCCCCAUCUUCAACACCUCUCACAUGCGCCCGCAUCGUGUAAAGAGUGUCCACCUUCUUACCUCUAGUGACCACUAGAGACCAUUUGGUGAGCUUCCAUUGACCUUCACUAAAGUAACUUUUAUAACCAUUCUCAUCAACUUACCAGCAGAGAUCAAAUUAAAACGAAUAUCUGGAACAUGUCUGACUUCUCUCAGCAUCAACUUGCAACCACUGUUAGUUUCCAAACAAAUAUCUCCAAUGCCUAUAAUCUUGGAUGCACUUCCGUUUUUCAUCCGCACAUGGCCAAAAUCACCACUACUGUAGCAUGUGAAGAUUUCACCACGCGAAGUAGCAUGGAACGAAGCACCCGAAUCAAUAAUCCAAUCAUUAUCAUGACACUUGGGUUUAUCAUCACAAACAAUAGCUACAUCAACGUCGGAUAGAUACACAAUCGAAUCUUUAUCCUCAUCUUUUUCCUUAGACUGCUCCUUUAAAAAUUUGCACUCUCGUCUUAUGUGACCCGGCUUCUGACAGUGAAAACAAAUUACUUCUUUUCUAUCUCUUGACCUUCCCCUGGAUUUGUCAUCUUCAGGAGAGUUUCUCCCUCUAUUUUUGCCCCUACUCUGUGCGACAAAAACUUGUGACUCAGCGCUAAUCACCAUAGUAUCUCCUCGCCUCUGUUCCUCGUUAAACAAACUAUCCUUAACUGUAUCCAUAGUCAGCUUGCCAUUAGGAGCGGAAUUACUCAACGAUACAACUAGCGUCUCCCAACUAUCAGGCAAAGAGCUCAACAACAACAAAGCCUGCAUCUCAUCGUCAAUUACCAUCUUCAUCGUACUCAACUGAUUUAUCAAACUCUGAAAAUCACUCAAGUGUUCUGCAACGGAGUUUCCAUCCUUGAAUUUAGAAUUCACAAGCUUCUUAAUCAAAAAAGCUUUAUUUUGCGCCGUCUUCCUUUCAUACAUGGACUCCAAUUUCUGCCAGAUAUCAUAGGCUUUAGUUUCCGUGGCAACAUAAUGAAACACACUUUGAUCAAUCCACGAUCUGAUCAGACCAAUAGUCUUCCUGUUCAUCUUGUUCCACUGCGCGUCACUCUUGUUUGUGGGCUUAACUCCAUCGUUCUCAAGUGGCUCGUAUAAAUCCUUGCAGUAAAGCAAAUCCUCCAUUCUUGGCUUCCAAAUUGCAUAAUUUGUAGCCUUGAGAUUAAUCAUGCAACCUGCUGUCCAAUCCUCCAUUUAAUUCGCACAAGAAAAUCACAAAAAAUAACCAAGCUUUGAUACCACUGUUGGGAAAAGUAUGCCAAAAAUAAUCUAUAUCCCAGGAAUUACUUUUCUGACUUUGUGAAAUUAAAUAUGAAAUCAACAAAACCAAUUAUGAGAACAAAAAUCACAAAUAACCAUCCACAAGAAAGACACCAAAUUUACGUGGAAAACCCUCUAAAAUUAAGAGGUAAAAACCACGGGUCAAACUUCGAAUCUCCACUAUAUCACUAAUAAUGGGCUUACAAUAAUCCUCUUAAGUUUUAUGCCCUAAAACUUGAGGUUACACAAUAAAUUGAGAUAGUACAAAUUUACCUUUAAUUAGGUUGAGAAACCUAAUUAUCUUUACCACCCAAAAAACACCCCAAGCAAUAAAGUCUUCAAGCUUUCAAUUGAACGGAGAUGAUGGCGGAUACACACGAACAACAAAUUGUAAUUCUGUCAAUUUAUUCUUUUGGUAUCUUCUUACUACCAAGUUUAUCUCAUAUCUCAUGUAUCAAAUAAGACUCCCUCAUAGCCUUAUUUAUAGUACUCUUCUUAAUCCAUGCCUAUUAUGAAUUAGAAACAAUUUAUUCUCCUAAUCAAAUUAGGGAUCACAUCUCCUUGUCUUGGUCAUCAACCACUCUUACAAGUAAAUCCUUUUUCAACUUGUUUCAUGGAAUCUCCAAUUCCAAUAUUGCUUCCAUUAACCCAAUUUCUAAUUGGAUUAAUAUCAAGUAAACCCAUUUACUUGCUCACAAAGAAAAUUAAUUCUUUUAUAUCUUGGAUUCUAUCUCAUGGUUGAGGACCCACACCCAACAAAAUAGUACUAAUGUAAUGUUAACUCAUUUUCUUUUAUUUUAUAAUUUAUGUUUCUAUAAGAAGUUAUUGAACUUCAACUCUUUUAAGAAACAAACUUUUAGGGAGGUUUAAUCUGUAAUGGUGAAGGUGUUUGGAUAAUCGGUUUUCAUGGAAGAGUUGGCAAAUAUGGGCUAUUAAGGAGGGGCUUACUAUACCACUGUUGGAAGUUAAGACCGACUCGAAAAAACAGAGUUUUUAAAAAGUGUGGAGUCGUGAAGCAGCCGUUGUAAGAAUAUACAUUCUUGAUAUUUCACAUGUGUGUGGUAAUAUAAGAGAUUAUUUUGUAGAGUAUGAGUUUGUUUUUUAGUCAGAUUUCUAAGUUAUUUGUCAGAUAAUUAAUACCUCUUACAUGGCACCUCUUGAUUUGUGCACUACCAAUAUCAAUUUCUGAUUGUAUUACAUGCAUUGUUAUUUUGCUCUCUUUCUCUCAAAAUUCCCCUUUAAAGUUCUGUGAUUUGAUGUUUAUUUAUUUGAUUUUUAUUAUUUGUUAUUUCAGAUUUUUGGGAAGGCAGAGUUUUUGAAUCCAGGGGGGAGUGUCAAAGAUAGGGUGGUGGUUCCACUUAUUACAUGGUAUUUGUUUCAUUACAUGGUAAGAGAAGUUUAUCUUUCUCUUUUAGUUGGAUAACCAAAAACUACAAAGUAAAGCAUUUCAAGCUCUUUAAUUUGCUAUCUUUGCAUUUUAUCUUUGAAGCUUAAUCAAGAGCCUCAAUGUGUUGGGCAUUGUUUUUCUGACAGUCAUAUAAUUUUGUUCUUGAAUAACUACCCCAUUUUUUUAAUGUCUUAAUGGAUAGUUACUAAUAACUUUAUUUGUAUUAUUUGUUGAGUUUGGGAUAUGAACAUGUGUUGGGUUUCAAGCCUUAAUCUCAUCUUUAAUUAUGCUUAGCCAAAGCCCAUUUGAUCUGCACUUUUCAAUUUAUGUAAAGUGAUUAGAUUAUGAUAUUUGUUGAAACCAUCAACUACAUUGGUGUUUAUAUCUAUUGAAGUGAUGAUACGUGAUGGGUUUUCUUUGGAAUAUUUAUUUUUGAUGUUUUCUUGGUUUUGUUACUGAAAAUGGUGUUUUUGAUUUAGAGAUUGGUUGAUAUGUGGUGUCCUCUAUAUUUUCGAUGGUGGAGUAUGGCAUUCAUUCUUAGAGGGUAAUUUGAGGUGAGUUAUUUGGUAAUUUUAGUAAAGAUUUCAACUUUAGCUUUGAGGAAACUGGAAAAAUGCUUCUAGAUUCUAUUUAUGGAUAAUUCUACUGUAUGAUGCU
rnacentral:lncRNA from 1 species